rnacentral:rRNA from 1 species
AUUGAACGCUGGCGGCAGGCCUAACACAUGCAAGUCGAGCGGAUGAAGGGAGCUUGCUCCUGGAUUCAGCGGCGGACGGGUGAGUAAUGCCUAGGAAUCUGCCUGGUAGUGGGGGAUAACGUCCGGAAACGGGCGCUAAUACCGCAUACGUCCUGAGGGAGAAAGUGGGGGAUCUUCGGACCUCACGCUAUCAGAUGAGCCUAGGUCGGAUUAGCUAGUUGGUGGGGUAAAGGCCUACCAAGGCGACGAUCCGUAACUGGUCUGAGAGGAUGAUCAGUCACACUGGAACGGAGACACGGUCCAGACUCCUACGGGAGGAGGCAGUGGGGAAUAUUGGACAAGGGGCGAAGGCCUGAUCCAGCCAUGCCGCGUGUGUGAAGAAGGUCUUCGGAUUGUAAAGCACUUUAAGUUGGGAGGAAGGGCAGUAAGUUAAUACCUUGCUGUUUUGACGGUACCAACAGAAUAAGCACCGGCUAACUUCGUG